UGGCUCAGGACGAACGCUGGCGGCGUGCUUAACACAUGCAAGUCUUAGGAGAAAGUUUCCUUCGGGAAACAAGUAAACUGGCGAACGGGUGAGUAACGCGUAGGCAACCUGCCCUUUAGACUGGGACAACAUUGUGAAAACGGUGCUAAUACCAGAUAAUAUCAAUUCUUAAUUAGAUAUGAUUAAAGGUGGCUUCGGCUACCGCUAAUGGAUGGGCCUGCGUCUGAUUAGCUUGUUGGUAAGGUAACGGCUUACCAAGGCUACGAUCAGUAGCUGGUUUGAGAGGAUGAUCAGCCACACUGGGACUGAGAUACGGCCCAGACUCCUACGGGAGGCAGCAGUGAGGAAUUUUGCGCAAUGAACGAAAGUUUGACGCAGCAACGCCGCGUGAUCGAAGAAGCUCUGAGGAGUGUAAAGAUCUGUCAUAGGGGAAGAAUGACAACUGUUCUAACACAUCAGUUGUGUGACGGUACCCUAUAAGAAAGCCCCGGCUAACUUAGUGCCAGCAGCCGCGGUAAUACUAGGGGGGCAAGCGUUGUCCGGAUUCAUUGGGCGUAAAGGGUUCGUAGGCGGUCUAAACAGUCAAAAUUGAAAUACCACGGCUUAACCGUGGGCCCGGUUUUGAAACUUUUAGACUUGAGUUAGGUAGGGGUAAGCGGAAUUCCUGGUGUAGCGGUGAAAUGCGUAGAUAUCAGGAGGAACACCGAUGGCGAAGGCAGCUUACUGGGCAUAUACUGACGCUGAGGAGCGAAAGCAUGGGUAGCGAACAGGAUUAGAGACCCUGGUAGUCCACGCCGUAAACGAUGAGCACUUGGUGGUGGGGGAUUCAAUCCCUUCACUGUCGGAGUUAACGCGUUAAGUGCUCCGCCUGGGGACUACGACCGCAAGGUUGAAACUCAAAGGAAUUGACGGGGACCCGCACAAGCGGCGGAGCAUGUGGAUUAAUUCGAUGCAACGCUAAGAACCUUACCUGGACUUGACAUGUUAGUGACGGUUUUGCGAAAGCAAAUCCUCCUGCGAGCUUGCUCAAAGGCACUAUCACAGGUGAUGCAUGGCUGUCGUCAGCUCGUGUCGUGAGAUGUUCGGUUAAGUCCGAUAACGAGCGCAACCCCUAUUCUUAGUUGCCAGCACAUAAUGGUGGGGACUCUAAGAAAACUGCCUGGGAUAACCAGAAGGAAGGUGGGGUCGACGUCAAGUCAGUAUGUCCCUUACGUUCAGGGCUACACACGUGAUACAAUGGAGAGUACAGAGGGUUGCAAUACCGCGAGGUGGAGCUAAUCCCAAAAAACUUUCCUAAGUUCGGAUUGCAGUCUGCAACUCGACUGCAUGAAGUAGGAAUCGCUAGUAAUCGCGCAUCAGCAUGGCGCGGUGAAUACGUUCCCGGGUCUUGUACACACCGCCCGUCACGCCAUGGAAGCCGGUAGUGCCCAAC
rnacentral:rRNA from 1 species